rnacentral:rRNA from 1 species
GCAAGUCGAGGGGCAUCAGUUUGGUUUGCUUGCAAACCAAAGCUGGCGACCGGCGCACGGGUGAGUAACACGUAUCCAACCUACCUCAUACUCGGGGAUAGCCUUUCGAAAGAAAGAUUAAUAUCCGAUAGCAUAUAUUUCCCGCAUGGGUUUUAUAUUAAAGAAAUUCGGUAUGAGAUGGGGAUGCGUUCCAUUAGUUUGUUGGGGGGGUAACGGCCCACCAAGACUACGAUGGAUAGGGGUUCUGAGAGGAAGGUCCCCCACAUUGGAACUGAGACACGGUCCAAACUCCUACGGGAGGCAGCAGUGAGGAAUAUUGGUCAAUGGACGCGAGUCUGAACCAGCCAAGUAGCGUGAAGGAUGACUGCCCUAUGGGUUGUAAACUUCUUUUAUAUGGGAAUAAAGUUGUCCACGUGUGGAUUUUUGUAUGUACCAUAUGAAUAAGGAUCGGCUAACUCCGUGCCAGCAGCCGCGGUAAUACGGAGGAUCCGAGCGUUAUCCGGAUUUAUUGGGUUUAAAGGGAGCGUAGGCGGAUUGUUAAGUCAGUUGUGAAAGUUUGCGGCUCAACCGUAAAAUUGCAGUUGAUACUGGCAGUCUUGAGUGCAGUAGAGGUGGGCGGAAUUCGUGGUGUAGCGGUGAAAUGCUUAGAUAUCACGAAGAACUCCGAUUGCGAAGGCAGCUCACUGGAGUGUAACUGACGCUGAUGCUCGAAAGUGUGGGUAUCAAACAGGAUUAGAUACCCUGGUAGUCCGCACAGUAAACGAUGAAUACUCGCUGUUUGCGAUAUACAGUAAGCGGCCAAGCGAAAGCAUUAAGUAUUCCACCUGGGGAGUACGCCGGC